AAGCCUGGCAAUGGCGGGCGCCCCUCCCCCAGCCUCGCUGCCACCUUGCAGUUUGAUCUCAGAUUGCUGUGCUAACAAUCAGCCAGACUCCUUGGGCGUAGGACCCUCCGAGCCAGGUGUGGGAUAUAAUCUCGUGGUGCGCCAUUUUUUAAGCUGGUCAGAAAAGCGCAGUAUUCAGGUGGGAGUGGCCCGAUUUUCCAGGUGCGUCGGUCACCCGUUUCUUUGACUCGGAAAGGGAACUCCCUGACCCCUUGCGCUUCCCAAGUGAGGCAAUGCCUCUCCCUGCUUCGGCUCGCGCAUGGUGCGCGCACCCACUGACCUGCGCCCACUGUCUGGCACUCCCAAGUGAGAUGAACCCGGUACCUCAGAUGGAAAUGCAGAAAUCACCCGUCUUCUGCAUCGCUCACGCUGGGAGCUGUAGACAGGAGCUGUUCCUAUUCGGCCAUCUUGGCUCCUCUCGAUAAUUGCUUUCAUGUGAACCCUUCAUAAGGUAAAAUCAAAUCCCUAUUAGGAUAAAUGAUUGAGUGUUCCUGUAAAGAAUUGUUCCCCUGGUUCAAGCAACCAGAUUUCAUUCCCAGAUGAUCAAAAAUGGACUUGAUGAAAUGGAAAAGCACUGAUAGAAACAGCCGUCGAUAUAUAGCUAAGGAUGAUAACAAGCACAACAAGGACUUACAGCAUUUGCUUUGCACCAGACACCAUCUAAAACACUUCACAAAUAUUAACUCAAAGGAACCUAUCAUUUCCACUGCUCAAAAUUACUCCUGAAGGGAUGAGGACACCAGGAUAUGCCACCGGACCACUGAAGAGAUUGCUGUUUUCUGCCCCAGGCCUGUGCCAUGAGGGACACUUUCUCAGGACUCUUGCCAAUCUUUUCUGAGAGUACCUGGUGAGCUCUGUUGUGAAUUGCCUGUAAGUAGAUAAAA
rnacentral:lncRNA from 10 species